rnacentral:sRNA from 1 species
GCUGGGCGUGGUGACGUGCGCCUGUAAUCCCAGAUACUCAGGAGGCUGAGGCAGGAGAAUCACUUGAACCUGGGAGGCAGAGGUUGCAGUGAGCCAAGAUUGCGCCACUAUACUCCAGCCUGGGUGACAGAGUGAUACUCUGCCUCAA